CAGUCGCCGCGGGAAAACGAAGGGGGCUAGCGUUGUUCGGAUUUACUGGGCGUAAAGGGCGCGUAGGCGGGCUGAUAAGUCAGGGGUGAAAUCCCAAGGCUCAACCUUGGAACUGCCUUUGAUACUGUUUGUCUUGAGUUCGAGAGAGGUAAGUGGAACUGCGAGUGUAGAGGUGAAAUUCGUAGAUAUUCGCAAGAACACCAGUGGCGAAGGCGGCUUACUGGCUCGAAACUGACGCUGAGGCGCGAAAGCGUGGGGAGCAAACAGGAUUAGAUACCCGGGUAGUCCCUGUCUCUUAUAA
rnacentral:rRNA from 1 species